GUUCAGGAGUGGGGUGAUCCAAGAAAAGAAGAAUACUACUACUAUAUGAAAUCAUACUCUCCCGUUGACAAUGUGGCAGCACAAGAGUAUCCCAACAUUCUUGUCACCGCUGGCUUAAACGAUCCUCGCGUGAUGUACUCUGAACCGGUGAAAUACGUGGCGAAACUGAGGGAGCUGAAGACGGAUGGCAAUCUUCUGUUGUUCAAGUGCGAGCUGGGUGCUAGACACUUCUCCAAGUCGGGAAGGUACAGA